rnacentral:tRNA from 1 species
UGCCUCAGUAGCUCAGAGGAUAGAGCAGGAGCCUUCUAAUCUCUUGGUCGGGGGUUCGAUUCCCUCCUGGGGUACCC